rnacentral:rRNA from 1 species
AUUGAACGCUGGCGGCAUGCCUUACACAUGCAAGUCGAACGGCAGCACGGGGGCAACCCUGGUGGCGAGUGGCGCACGGGUGAGUAACACGUAAGUAAUCUACCUUUGAGUGGGGAAUAACAGUCGGAAACGACUGCUAAUACCGCAUAAUGCAGCGGCAUCGCAAGAUGACAGUUGUUAAAGGAGCAAUCCGCUUAAAGAGGAGCUUGCGGCAGAUUAGCUAGUUGGUAAGGUAAUGGCUUACCAAGGCUACGAUCUGUAUCCGGUCUAAGAGGACGGUCGGACACACUGACACUGAAUAACGGGUCAGACUCCUACGGGAGGCAGCAGUCGGGAAUUUUGGGCAAUGGGCGAAAGCCUGACCCAG